UAGGGAAUCUUCGGCAAUGGACGAAAGUCUGACCGAGCAACGCCGCGUGAGUGAAGAAGGUUUUAGGAUCGUAAAACUCUGUUGUUAGAGAAGAACAAGGACGUUAGUAACUGAACGUCCCCUGACGGUAUCUAACCAGAAAGCCACGGCUAACUACGUGCCAGCAGCCGCGGUAAUACGUAGGUGGCAAGCGUUGUCCGGAUUUAUUGGGCGUAAAGCGAGCGCAGGCGGUUUCUUAAGUCUGAUGUGAAAGCCCCCGGCUCAACCGGGGAGGGUCAUUGGAAACUGGGAGACUUGAGUGCAGAAGAGGAGAGUGGAAUUCCAUGUGUGGCGGUGAAAUGCGUAGAUAUAUGGAGGAACACCAGUGGCGAAGGCGGCUAUCUGGUCUGUAACUGACGCUGAGGCUCGAAAGCGUGGGGAGCAAACAGG
rnacentral:rRNA from 1 species